rnacentral:rRNA from 1 species
CCUACGGGUGGCAGCAGUGGGGAAUAUUGCACAAUGGGCGCAAGCCUGAUGCAGCCAUGCCGCGUGUGUGAAGAAGGCCUUCGGGUUGUAAAGCACUUUCAGCGGGGAGGAAGGCGGUGAGGUUAAUAACCUCAUCGAUUGACGUUACCCGCAGAAGAAGCACCGGCUAACUCCGUGCCAGCAGCCGCGGUAAUACGGAGGGUGCAAGCGUUAAUCGGAAUUACUGGGCGUAAAGCGCACGCAGGCGGUCUGUCAAGUCGGAUGUGAAAUCCCCGGGCUCAACCUGGGAACUGCAUUCGAAACUGGCAGGCUAGAGUCUUGGAGAGGGGGGUAGAAGUCCAGGUGUAGCGGGGAAAUGCGUAGAGAUCUGGAGGAAUACCGGUGGCGAAGGCGGCCCCCUGGACAAAGACUGACGCUCAGGUGCGAAAGCGUGGGGAGCAAACAGGAUUAGAUACCCGGGUAGUC